AGUAGUUUGAUCAGUGGCUCGAGGACGAACGCUGGCGGCGUGCCUAACACAUGCAAGUCGAACGGGGAUUUUGUUUCGGCAGAAUCCUAGUGGCGAACGGGUGAGUAACGCGUAGGCAACCUGCCCUCCGGCCGGGGACAACACUCCGAAAGGGGUGCUAAUACCGGAUACGAAGUCUGUGCCGCAUGGUACGGAUUUGAAAGAUGGCCUCUAUUUAUAAGCUAUCGCCGGGGGAUGGGCCUGCGUCCGAUUAGCUGGUUGGUGGGGUAACGGCCUACCAAGGCGACGAUCGGUAGCCGGUCUGAGAGGAUGAACGGCCACAUUGGGACUGAGACACGGCCCAGACUCC
rnacentral:rRNA from 1 species